rnacentral:tRNA from 1 species
GGGGAUUUAGCUCAGCGGCAUAGCGCCUGCCUCAAAAGCAGGGAGUCGUGAAUUCGAUCCCUG